CAAUUCAGUAUUCAUGGACUAAGGGACCCAGCCAUGCCUCUCCCCCAGUGCAGGUAAGGAUCCAACCCUGAAGGCUACAGAAUCAACUCUUUACCACUUCUUAUUCCCUGUGACUUAAUGAAUAUUUAUAUCUUUAUUGCAGCAUGGAAUAGCUCAGCUCCCCUGAGCACAGCAAGCGAGGGAAUGUUUGAUUUGAGAGCCCGAGAUAGGGAGCAGUUGUAGCUGAAAUUCAGGUGCCCUGGGGAUUUCUGUGGAGGAGGGGAGAGCCUGGAUAUCUAUGUAAUUUAGGUACCAAGGAGGUCUUGAGGAUAGCUGAAGUUAGCACACAGAGCUGCAGUUAGAUACCACCAACACCCCAGUGAAUGUAGUUCCAGAGGCUCCAGGACAAUAUGCAAUCCAUAUUCACAGAUUUUAAUUAUUCAGAAAAGGUUUUUACCUUCCCUGAAAAUUAAGCACAAAGGGCCUAAUUCUAAAUGCUGCGCUGAUACAACUCUUGAUAAGUACCAGUGAAGCUGAUCAGCAAAACAGUUUCACAUCAUCUUCUUUGAGAAUGGAUUUUGUUUCUUACCUAACCAAAUAUGUGGUGUCUUCUGACUCCCAAUCUAAUGUGAAUGCAACAAACUAGACCCAAAUGCCUUAAUUAGAGCAUGCUACCUUUGCACAUACCACAAAGCAAUCUGGGAUGGGAGAAAGAGGACCUAAGAAGUGAUGCUAGCAGUGGUAGGAGAAAAUAGGCUGCUUUCUUUCUGUGUUUGAGCCUAAUUAUUGUACUAGGAGUCUGUCAUCACUGAUAUAUUGGAGCUUUAGGGCUCUGUGCUGAAAGCAGGAUAAGUGCCAGUAGCAAAGGAACAGGGUACUCAGUCCCAGAACAACAAAAACAUCUUCAUGAAGGCAGUGACCUGCAGGACUCUAAUUAGCUCUGGUAGCAGCAGGACCCAGCUGUGAUGCUGAACACAGAUCUGAAGCUUGAGAAGACUCUGGCCAGCCACAAGCAGGCUCCAUAACUGUGCCAGAAGAGAAGGGAACAGAGGAAACUUCUGCCAUGGUGACAUGAAAGAGUACUCAAAAGGUGUCUUGAGCUCUUGUGCCAGCUGGCUGAGUGGCUGCAGAGCCUAGGUACAGAGACUAAUUUCUGGGAAAUGUAAAGACAUCUAUGUUUAAUAUUAGAGCUGAUGACUCAUUUUCUCUAUUUGCUAUCCCAACUGUGCACCCAAACAGAGGCUCCAAUCUUCUUUGCUCUGACCUUCAAUCAGCUGUUGGAAAGUCCCAUCAUUAGCAUGAAACUGGGGGAGUCUGUUUCAGAAAUUUCACUAAGUGGGGUGAAGAAGCUUCUGAGCUGCAUUUGACCAUCUUUCCUUGAAUACCAAAGACAAGAUCAACCAAGUUGUGCACUGAGGUGUCAUUCAAGCUAGGACAGUUCUGAAGGCAGUUGUCAGAAUCCUCCUGCUGCUUGAAGGGCUGUGUAUCAACGCUGGCCCAGGAGCCAGCUGUACACUAGGUUAAACCACCAGCAAUUUUCACCUUGGGAAAGCUGAUGAAUUGACUGGCAUUAGAGACCAUCUACGCCAAGGAGCCAGAAGGUAUAGCUCACAAGGGAAAUCGUCCACAUACCCAGGAGAAGGUUUGGAGACAGCAUCAUCCCAUUUUUUGCAAUGUCCUGUGUGAGGCUGUUAUAUCCAAAUCUUCAGUGGUGCUAACAGGAUGCUUUGCAUAGACAGAGCUCUGUCAGAUCUUCAGCCAAGUUGAGACUGGAUUUGCUGUCUGUGAAAAUCCCAGGAUGAUGAGUCAAGACUAGAAACAUAGAAAGAUGUUCUGCCAAGCAAGCCCAGCCUAUUAGAGUGGGAAUCUCUUCAGGGUUUUUUUAACAUUACCUUCAGCUAAAUAAAUAAUUUGUCUCCUUCCAUCCUAAACUUUAACCUGUCUCAUGCAGUUAAGCUUCAGUCUUUUGAGCAGACCUGUGUGGUGGGUUUGUGCAUGGCACAGAGGCUGCUAAUCCUAGCUGAGGACAUUAUGGCUGUCCU